UUACACUUACAAUAUCAAGGCUUUGUCUUUUCUUGAUCAAGAGUGGAUUACUCUUUUUUCUUGAUAAGACAUAAGUAUGUUAGAAGUUGUGGAUUACCGUUGUCGUAAUGUGUGAAGUCUUGCUUGAGAAUGCUCCGGGCACUUGGCUGUAGAAAGAAGAAUAGAAAUUGCAAUAAAAAAAUUCUAAUUCUAAUAGAAUACUAACAAUGCUCUAAUUAGACUAUAAUAAUGGUAAAUAAACGUAAUCAAAUUCAAAACAACUCAAAGAAAUUUCAAACAAACAAUAAAAUUCUUAAAGAAAUAUUAGAAUGAUCACAAAUUUUACUCAAAUAUAUGUCAAUUCAACCUUAAUUUAAUUCUAGUUAAAACCCUAUUGAGUUUCACUCAACUUUAGACCAAACCUAAUUAAAUCUUAAAUCCUAAUAAUUCCUAAACCCUAAGUCAAAUCCUAAACAAAUCUUAAAUUAAACCCUAUUCCAAAUCCUAAAUCCUAAACCAAAUCCUAAAUCAAACCCUAACCAAAUCCUAAACCCUAAUCCAAACCCUAAUCCAAUCCUAAAUUCUAAUCCAAAUCCUAAACCCUAAACCAAACCUUAAAUCAAAUCCUAACCAAAUCUUAGUCUAAACUCUAAUCCAAACCCUAAAUCAAAUCCUAAUCCAAAUCCUAAAUCAAACCCUAAUCAAACCCUAAACCCUAAAUCCUAAUCCAAA
rnacentral:lncRNA from 1 species